UCUUUUCUCCCUUCCUCUCCUUCCCUCCUCUCCUUCCCUUCCUUCCCUUCCCUCCUUUUAUUCCCUCCUUCCAUUCCCUCCUCCUCUGGUUUAUUUUACGCUUGCGCUGCGGCACGUUCUGAACCCGGGUGAGCUCAGGAGGGCCGGCUGUGACGAGCAGGACUCUGAGGCGCGUCCGUCUCUCGGAAGGGCCCCGGUGAGGGCAGCUGCUGGCGAUCAGACCACACCGUACAACGCUCUUCCUGGCCGAGGAGCGAAACAGCGAGGCCCCAGACACGUCGCUUCUGGGAACGCUGCUUGCAGGCGAAUUUUUUACACGUUUUUCUUACAGGUUUAUGAGCACUGAAUCUCUGAUUUGCUCCGCAUCGUUUGUUAACUAUUGAGCUGAAGACGACUUCUCCCCAGUGUAUGACAUAGUUCCUCCCUGGCUCUUCCGGAGCCGUGACACCGUGUCUAUUUGCACAGACAGGAAAAGCAGCGUUGCGAAGCCGAAAGAGAACAGCAUGGUGCACGCACCAGCUCUACCGCGCUCAUAACAGCAAGUCUGACAGUAGCCUCUGCUUCCCAUAACUCGUGUUUUGGGCUCAGCUUGUCCCGCCUUGCAAAUGGGAGAACUGGAGAGAAAUGGGGGAGAGAGACAAAGAGAAGACUCCGAAGUAUGCAACUAUUUUUGCCUCUCAUCUGUCUCCAGGUACUGCCUCGCUGAAACUUUUCACGUACAUGUUGUAUUUCAUCACUUCUGUUCUAGCUGUUAGCUGCUCACCGCUUAACCAAGAAUUUGGAGAUGAAUUUGUUGUUGUGUUAUAAAUG